rnacentral:rRNA from 1 species
AAUCCAUAGGUUAAUGAGGCGAACCGGGGGAACUGAAACAUCUAAGUACCCCGAGGAAAAGAAAUCAACCGAGAUUCCCCCAGUAGCGGCGAGCGAACGGGGAGGAGCCCAGAGCCUGAAUCAGCAUGUGUGUUAGUGGAAGCGUCUGGAAAGGCGCGCGAUACAGGGUGACAGCCCCGUACACAAAAGCGCAUGUGCUGUGAGCUCGAUGAGUAGGGCGGGACACGUGGUAUCCUGUCUGAAUAUGGGGGGACCAUCCUCCAAGGCUAAAUACUCCUGACUGACCGAUAGUGAACCAGUACCGUGAGGGAAAGGCGAAAAGAACCCCGGCGAGGGGAGUGAAAAAGAACCUGAAACCGUGUACGUACAAGCAGUGGGAGCCCCACCACCAAAGCAUUUGCUGUACCGCGUUGACGGAGCGAAGCGACGUCAAACCGAUAAAACAGCAGUGUAAAGUGAGCCGCAGGGCGCUUUGCGCGACAGCGCAAAGGCAGGCGGU